ACUCUCGUGUCAGAGUUUGAUCCUGGCUCAGGAUGAACGCUGGCGGCGUGCUUAACACAUGCAAGUCGAACGGGCGGAGGGAGCUUGCUCCCGAAGCUAGUGGCGGACGGGUGAGUAACGCGUGGGUAACCUGCCUCAUACAGGGGGAUAACAGUGAGAAAUCACUGCUAAUACCGCAUAUGCGCACAGUACCGCAUGGUACAGUGUGGAAAACUCCGGUGGUAUGAGAUGGACCCGCGUUGGAUUAGCUAGUUGGCAGGGUAGAGGCCUACCAAGGCGACGAUCCAUAGCCGGCCUGAGAGGGUGGACGGCCACAUUGGGACUGAGACACGGCCCAG
rnacentral:rRNA from 1 species